ACUUGAUGAUGUGGGCAUUUGCGCAAAAGGUCCCUAAAGUACUCCCAUGUCUCGAAAAAUUGUUCCCCAUGCAAUUAGGAGAAACUCGUGAUUGCCUUCCUAAGCU